ACGGCUCAGUAACACGUAGCUAACCUGCCCUUAGAUUGGAAAUAACCUCGGGAAACUGAGGCUAAAAUCCAAUACGAGAUUUUCUCUGGAAAGAGUUUUCUCUGAAACGCAAGGUCUAAGGAUGGGGCUGCGACUGAUUAGGUUGUUGGCGGGGUAAAAGCCCACCAAGCCGAUGAUCAGUAGGGGCUCUUAGCGGAGUCGCCCCGAGAGGAAAUCUGAGACACUAUUUCCAGCUCUACGGAGUGCAGCAGUCGCGAAUCUUUUGCAAUGCGCGCAAGCGUGACAAAGCGAACCAAAGUGCUUUCCGCACAGGAAAGCUUUUCUCUGCUGUAAAAAGGCAGGGGAAUAAGGACUGGGCAAGACCGGUGCCAGCCGCCGCGGUAAUCCCGGCAGUCCAAGUCGCAGCCAACAUUAUUGGGUCUAAAACAUCCGUAGCUUGCUUAUUAAGUUUCCUGUGAAAUCCUAUGUCUCAAGCAUGGGGCUUGCGGGGAAUACUGGUAAGCUAGAGACCGGAAGAUGCAAAGAGUACACUCAAGGUAGUGGUAAAAUACGUUAAUCUUGGGUGGACUAACAAUUGGCGAAGGCACUUUGCAAGUACGGAUCUGACAGUGAGGGAUGAAGGCUAGGGGCGCAAAAUGGAUUAGAUACCCAUGUAGUCCUAGCAGUAAACACUGCUCACUAAACAUUGGUCUCUCUUCGGGAG
rnacentral:rRNA from 1 species